rnacentral:snoRNA from 1 species
GAUGGAAGCUGCAGGGACUAUCCAUGUGGACAAAUAAAAUGCUUUUUGUCUACAAUAUGUGGCCUUCCUAUAAAAAAACGGAGGUCUCUAUCUGGUUUAGGACAGCUGACUAAGCUUGAUCAUUCCUUUCCAUACAGU